GGCGCACGGGUGCGUAACACGUGGGCAAUCUGCCCUCCGAUGGGGAAUAACCCCGCGAAAGCGGGGCUAAUUCCGCAUAACAUUCCCUGGACUCCGGUUUGGGGAUUCAAAGCAGCAAUGCUGUCGGAGGAGGAGCCCGCGCCCGAUUAGCUAGUUGGUGAGGUAGCGGCUCACCAAGGCAAUGAUCGGUAGCUGGUCUGAGAGGAUGGCCAGCCACACUGGAACUGAGACACGGUCCAGACUCCUACGGGAGGCAGCAGUGGGGAAUCUUGCGCAAUGGGCGAAAGCCUGACGCAGCGACGCCGCGUGGGGGAUGAAGCUUUUCGGAGUGUAAACCCCUUUCGACCGGGACGAAUGCCCGCAAGGGAGUGACGGUACCGGUAGAAGAAGCCCCGGCUAACUACGUGCCAGCCGCCGCGG
rnacentral:rRNA from 1 species